CGAGGACUUUUCGGGUUAUAGCGUGGCUUAGGUUUAUUGAAGGGUGGAUAUUUUUGGGAAACUAGUUAGAAAAACUUGAAGCUUAUAAGAUCACCUAUUUCAAACAAAAUUGGACAAAUCAAUUGAUCCCCAAAAUCAUCACCUUCAUACUAGAGAACUUAACUAUCACAAUUUUUUUUUCUUUUCUUCAUGCAAAUGAAUUCACAAUGUGUGAACUCAUUCCAUGCUCACAUUUUUUUUU
rnacentral:lncRNA from 1 species